AUCAUACGAAUUCAGGCGUAGCAGGCGCACCUUCCCAACUAUUCACAACUCUUUACAAUAGGACCCAAUCAGCCACAAACUUACUCUAAUUAUGACCAGCUGUGAACAACAAAGUUGAUCGUAGUUAGGAAUCUCAAUGCUACCAUACCACGGUAAUCUGGCUCUAAUACCCCUUGGAUGCCAGAAAAGCCGCACACUCUAUGAAACAUUUAAACUCCAUCGACCCUUUCAAUUGAAUGCACGCAAGCUUCCAACGUCGAAGGUUGCUCGAUC
rnacentral:lncRNA from 1 species